ensembl:snoRNA
AUCCUUUUGUAGUUCAUAAGCAUGAUGAUUGAGUUUUCACGUUCAUGUCUGAGAUGUACCUCCUUCAAACCUUAUAAUGACAUGGAAACAUUACCCAUCUCAAG